rnacentral:rRNA from 1 species
AAUGAACGUUGGCGGCGUGGAUUAGGCAUGCAAGUCGAGCGAGAACCGUAGCAAUACGGGGACAGCGGCGCAAGGGAGAGUAAUACGUGGAUACCUACCCUCGGGUCCGGGAUAGCUGCGGGAAACUGCAGGUAAUACCGGAUGACAUCUCCGGAUCAAAGGUGUGAUUCCGCCCGGGGAGGGGUCCGCGUCCUAUUAGCUAGUUGGUGAGGUAACGGCUCACCAAGGCUGUGAUGGGUACGGGGUGUGAGAGCAUGCCCCCGCUCACUGGGACUGGGGCACUGCCCAGACACCUACGGGUGGCUGCAGUCGAGAAUCUUCGGCAAUGGGCGCAAGCCUGACCGAGCGACGCCGCGUGCGAGAUGAAGGCCUUCGGGUUGUAAAUCGCUGUCAGAGGGGAGGAAAUGCCGGUGGGUUCUCUCAUCGGUUUGACCUAUCCUCAGAGGAAGGACGGGCUAAGUUCGUGCCAGCAGCCGCCGUAA